rnacentral:rRNA from 1 species
UACGUAGGGCGCAAGCGUUGUCCGGAAUUAUUGGGCGUAAAGAGCUCGUAGGCGGUUUGUCACGUCUGCUGUGAAAACCUAAGGCUCAACCUUGGGCUUGCAGUGGGUACGGGCAGACUAGAGUGCGGUAGGGGUGACUGGAAUUCCUGGUGUAGCGGUGGAAUGCGCAGAUAUCAGGAGGAACACCGAUGGCGAAGGCAGGUCACUGGGCCGCAACUGACGCUGAGGAGCGAAAGCGUGGGGAGCAAACAGG